GUCACACCCGUUCCCAUACCGAACACGGAAGUUAAGCUCUCUAGCGCCGAUGGUAGUUGGGACCUUGUCCCUGUGAGAGUAGGACGUCGCCAAGCA
rnacentral:rRNA from 14 species